rnacentral:misc_RNA from 1 species
GAUGAAGAACGUAGUGAAAUGCGAUAAGUAAUGUGAAUUGCAGAAUUCAGUGAAUCAUCGAAUCUUUGAACGCACAUUGCGCCCCCUGGUAUUUCGGGGGGCAUGCCUGUUCGAGCGUCAUUUCACCACUCAAGCCUCGCUUGGUAUUGGGCAACGCGGUCCGCCGCGUGCCUCAAAUCGACCGGCUGGGUCUUCUGUCCCCUAAGCGUUGUGGAAACUAUUCGCUAAAGGGUGCUCGGGAGGCUACGCCGUAAAACAAACCCAUUUCUAAGGUUGACCUCGGAUCAGGUAGGGAUACCCGCUGAACUUAAGCAUAUCAAUAAGCGGAGGA